AGCGGGGUUGAGUAAUUGGUGAACUCAUCAGGCUCAUAAACUGAAGAUCUUGGUUCAAAUCCAGGUCACGCCU
rnacentral:tRNA from 1 species